rfam:Oryza meridionalis cultivar OR44 (W2112) chromosome 2, whole genome shotgun sequence.
AAUAAGUGUAGUUUUGUAAUGUUCAUGUUCAACGUUUGAUCAUUCGUUUUAUUUGAAUUUUUUUUAUGAUUAGUAUUUUUGUUAUUAUUAGAUAAUAAAACAUAAAAAAGUACUUUAUGCUGACUAAUUUUUUUUUCAGAAAUUUUUCAAAUAAGACGAAUGGUCAAACGGUAGACACCGAUACCACGGUUGCACUUAUU